rnacentral:rRNA from 1 species
AGAUAGCUUGCUAUUUUUAUGAAGAGCGGCGAACGGGUGAGUAACGCGUGGGAAAUCUGCCGAGUAGCGGGGGACAACGUUUGGAAACGAACGCUAAUACCGCAUAACAAUGAGAAUCGCAUGAUUCUUAUUUAAAAGAAGCAAUUGCUUCACUACUUGAUGAUCCCGCGUUGUAUUAGCUAGUUGGUAGUGUAAAGGACUACCAAGGCGAUGAUACAUAGCCGACCUGAGAGGGUGAUCGGCCACACUGGGACUGAGACACGGCCCAGACUCCUACGGGAGGCAGCAGUAGGGAAUCUUCGGCAAUGGGGGCAACCCUGACCGAGCAACGCCGCGUGAGUGAAGAAGGUUUUCGGAUCGUAAAACUCUGUUGUUAGAGAAGAACGUUAAGUAGAGUGGAAAAUUACUUAAGUGACGGUAUCUAACCAGAAAGGGACGGCUAACUACGUGCCAGCAGCCGCGGUAAUACGUAGGUCCCAAGCGUUGUCCGGAUUUAUUGGGCGUAAAGCGAGCGCAGGUGGUUUCUUAAGUCUGAUGUAAAAGGCAGUGGCUCAACCAUUGUGUGCAUUGGAAACUGGGAGACUUGAGUGCAGGAGAGGAGAGUGGAAUUCCAUGU